GGCGGNNGNCUAUACAUGCAAGUCGAGCGAAUGNAUUAAGAGCUUGCUCUUAUNAAGUUAGCGGCGGACGGGUGAGUAACACGUGGGUAACCUGCCCAUAAGACUGGGAUAACUCCGGGAAACCGGGGCUAAUACCGGAUAACAUUUUGAACNGCAUGGUUCNAAAUUGAAAGGCGGCUUCGGCUGUCACUUAUGGAUGGACCCGCGUCGCAUUAGCUAGUUGGUGAGGUAACGGCUCACCAAGGCAACGAUGCGUAGCCGACCUGAGAGGGUGAUCGGCCACACUGGGACUGAGACACGGCCCAGACUCCUACGGGAGGCAGCAGUAGGGAAUCUUCCGCAAUGGACNAAAGUCUGACGGAGCAACGCCGCGUGAGUGAUGAAGGCUUUCGGGUCGUAAAACUCUGUUGUUAGGGAAGAACAAGUGCUAGUUGAAUA
rnacentral:rRNA from 1 species